GGUCGAUUAGUGUAGAGGUUAGCACGCGGGAUUUUGAUUGCAUGAAAAACAUCUUCCCGAGACGGGGGUUCAAUUCCCCCAUUGACCU